GCGUCCUUAGCUCAACUGGAUAGAGCAACGGAUUUCUAAUCCGUAGGUUGUCGGACCGUACCCGACAGGACGCA
rnacentral:tRNA from 1 species